CAAGCCUUCUGGCGAUCUAGACAAAACAAGUCCACCGUGGGCUUUGAAAAACGCUUUCCUUGAUAAAAUUUAAGCGUUUUAUAAGAGGAUUCCGGGGAAGGUUUUCCGGUUUAUCCCGGAGGGCUUGUAGCUCAGUUGGUUAGAGCGCGCGCUUGAUAAGCGUGAGGUCGGAGGUUCAAGUCCUCCCAGGCCCACCAGUUUAUCCAUUACUUUCAUAAGUGCUUUUAAAAAAUAAGUACUUCUAAAAAGAUUGCUUCUAAAAAGAUUGCUUCUAAAAAGAUUGCUUCUAAAAAGAUUGCUUCUAAAAAGAUUGCUUCUAAAAAGCUUAUCAAAAUUGGCAGGCUUAUUGCUUUUGUGUGAGUAAUCCAAAGUUAAAGCAAAUUAAUGGCAAAAAAACAGUUCAAAUGCUAAAUACUAAGGAGUCAAAAUUCCUUGCAAAGUGAUUUUUACAGCGUCCAUUUGGUUGAUAUAAAUUCCAAAUGCUCAUAGACGUCAAUGCCUAUAUGAAACUAUCGGUUCAAUCAUAUCGCUUUGAGUUAUAUAGAUUUUGUAAUCCCUCUUUUGAUCGUUUUAAACGCUUUAUCCUGAUUUAGGGGCCGUAGCUCAGCUGGGAGAGCACCUGCUUUGCAAGCAGGGGGUCGUCGGUUCGAUCCCGUCCGGCUCCACCAUAAGGUCAUCAUCAUUGUUGUAAGAACA
rnacentral:tRNA from 1 species